rnacentral:rRNA from 1 species
GUGAGACAGUUCGGUCCCUAUCUGCCGUGGGUGUAGGAUACUUGAGAGGAGUUGCCCCUAGUACGAGAGGACCGGGGUGAACGAACCACUGGUGGACCAGUUGUCGUGCCAACGGCAGUGCUGGGUAGCUAUGUUCGGACAGGAUAACCGCUGAAGGCAUCUAAGCGGGAAGCCCCCCUCAAAACAAGGUAUCCCUGAGGGCCGUGGAAGACCACCACGUCAAUAGGCCGG